rnacentral:rRNA from 1 species
GAUUAACGCGAAGAACCUUACCAAGGCUUGACAUGCACUGGACGGCUGCAGAGAUGUGGCUUUCUUUGGACUGGUGCACAGGUGGUGCAUGGUUGUCGUCAGCUCGUGUCGUGAGAUGUUGGGUUAAGUCCCGCAACGAGCGCAACCCUCGUCCUAUGUUGCCAGCGGGUUAUGCCGGGGACUCAUGGGAGACUGCCGGGGUCAACUCGGAGGAAGGUGGGGAUGACGUCAAAUCAUCAUGCCCCUUAUGUCUUGGGCUUCACGCAUGCUACAAUGGCCGGUACAAAGGGUUGCGAUACUGUGAGGUGGAGCUAAUCCCAAAAAGCCGGUCUCAGUUCGGAUUGAGGUCUGCAACUCGACCUCAUGAAGUCGGAGUCGCUAGUAAUCGCAGAUCAGCAACGCUGCGGUGAAUACGUUCCCGGGCCUUGUACACACCGAA